CAGGCCUGAAAUACAUGCCCGUUACGCCCUGGAGAAAAUCAGAAAAGUAAAGGUUCGGAUCUGAAUUUGUAAUGGCUGCUGCAGUAUUUCUUACGUUAGCAUGUUCUGGUUUAGGAGUAAUCUUUAAUAGCGCACUUGUUUUAAUAUAAUACUCUGCAUGGCUUUCUUUUUUAGGGGCUCCAAGCGCAUUUUAUGAGAGUGGUGGAGGCAUACCAAGUCAAUGCCUUGUGUUUUUUUGCUAGUAUGGCUUAUCUAACUUUUGAGGUAGCUGAACCCACGACUUACGAAAAGAAGCUUUACCAAGCAAUAGUUAUUGAGGCGAGUGGCAAAAAGGAAACGAUUUUGUUUGGUCUGGUCAAUUCUGAUGGCCGUUUGUCAAAAAUGCAUGACACCAGAGAGGGAGUCGAAUAUUCAGUCUAUAAUACCUGGCGAGAAGACGAUGAAGACGACGAGGAUGAUGAGGACGAUGAAGACAAUGAAGAAGACGAUGAAUGAUGGGGCACUAGUCUCAUUGACAAUAAGAGGCAACUGUUAUUGCAAUGGUUAAGAGAAUAUGGAAGGAGCCGGCCGGGGCGUGGCUACUGCAGGCUAGGGCAAUCCUAACAUGAAUGUGGAGAUUGAUUAGGCUUGAUUUGGAGACCGUAAAUUAUGUAACAUUUUUUACAUUUUUUUUUUCA